GUUGAUAAUUGAUACUCAGUUUUUUGCUUGGCUGAAAAAAACUGAGUAUCAAUUAUCAACUAAAACAAUUCUGUAAAAAGUCAAUGCGUGUCAAUUAUCACAUGAUUUAAUCCUUACAAUGCUUCUCGUGUCAUCUCUACCUCUUUUAAACCUGACAUUCUGGCAUUUUCACGAUCCUGCCUAAAAUACUUGUAUAAUGGAGUGUAAAACAAGCAACACAAACCAAAUGGAACUGUCAUCAUUGACAGAAGCCCCUUUGACAGGGCAGAAGCCUGCUGGACAGAACCUUUAACUGGAUCGAUAGAUUUUGAAUCAUAACCAAACAUAUUUUCUGAAAGAAUUCCAACUAAGGGUGCAGCAAAAGCAGAGAGUGAUCCUUCAAAAGCACGAUCGAAUGCAUAAAUCAUAGUUCUGUGUUUUACUGGGACUACUUCGGCAAACAUUGGCGCAUUAACAGCAGGGCCAUUCCAGCUGAUAGUCAGCCCCAUCAGGAAAACUGUAACAGCAAAAGUGAAAUAACUGUUCACUGUCAGAGGAAUUUCUUUAAGCAGAAACCAAGAGAAUGGAAUGCCCAUGAUGGCGCUGAAUUGUGCACACAUGAUGCGACCAGAGUGAGGGUAAAUAUGUGACAUUCGAUCUGCUAUCAAUCCACCAAGAAGGGCCCCCAGUGAACAUCCAACAGCAAAGAGACUUAGGAGGAAUGCUGUGCUAUUAUGAUCAAAACCAAUUAGUUCAAACCACAUAGUGAAGAACACCAUGGCAGUCCAUGGUAAAGUACCAACAAUGCCCUGCAGAACAAUAACCUGAAAUGUUUUCACUUUCAUAACAGCUUGCAUGGCUGUCCAAGACUCUGUCCAAAUGGAAGAUACACUAGAAUUGCUCCUUUCUAACAACUCAUUCCUAUUGUAUCUUUCACGAGCAUCGCGAGGUGUAUUGAUUGUUUUCCUUGGGUCAACAACAAAUAAGAAAACAAGAAAUCCAAUUAUUGAACUCAACGUUGCCAUCAUGAUGAAAGCACAACGCCAUCCUUGGACGCCCCAAUACUGCCGGCCAGCCAUGACAGUCGCGAGCACACCACCUCCUAUACCACCCAUGUUACCAAUAAGGUUUACCAAUCCAAAUCCAGUUCCUCUUACACCAUCCAUAUAGCUAUCAGCAAUGAAAGACUGCAAUGCUGGUAUCACAAUUGCUAGUCCAAAACCAUUUACAGCUCUCCAAAAUGCAACCUGCGAAAAAUGCUGGCUUGCACCCACUGCAGCAGUUGAUAUGGCCCAGCAUAAUGUCCCCAUUGCAAGAACUGCAGGGCGAUCAUAAUUUAUAACUAGUACACCUGCCAGGGGUGAUGCCAGUCCCUGCACAAAGUUCCUUAUGAAAGUAAGAUACCCCAAAUCAGAUGGCCCUGCAUUAAAAGCUUCGCUAACUUCUUUGUAAACAGCAGGAAGGAGAUUUUCAUCAGCACGCUCCAUUAUAGCAGCCAAGUUUAUAAGAAUGAGAGAAAGAGAAAUCCCAAAAAUCUUUCUUGUUUUCAUGGUACAGAUUUCUGGGAAACAGACUUGGAACGAAGAUCAGCCCCAAAUCUG
rnacentral:misc_RNA from 1 species